rnacentral:RNase_P_RNA from 1 species
UCCGCGCGAAUCUCUCGAGACAAAGAGAACCUUGGUUUUCAAUCGUCAUCUACGCAUGUGGGAAAUUCGGAGUAAGCCUCAAAUCCAUCCAACCGUACCGCUAUCUAGCAGUAUCUGGUUUGGUCUGCCGGUAACGGCCUGGCGUCAAUGUCACGUCUGCAAAUGAUAUCAGAAAUCUCAGAGCGGCGACUCGUUUUCGUCCGUACUCUAUGGGAAGUCUUUGCGAGGCUUGUUGGAAAAAAACUGAAGUGCGAUACGCGGCGUCCUGUUUGCUUGCGAACAGGAUGACUCAAUUCCGAUCACUCUGGGGAGGGC